rnacentral:rRNA from 1 species
GUGGGGAAUAUUGCGCAAUGGGGGAAACCCUGACGCAGCGACGCCGUGUGAGGGAAGAAGGCUUUCGGGUCGUAAACCUCUGUCAGAAAGGAAGAACCUCCCAAGUCCGAAUAGGGCUUGGGACUGACGGUACUUUCAAAGGAAGCACCGGCUAACUCCGUGCCAGCAGCCGCGGUAAUACGGAGGGUGCAAGCGUUAAUCGGAAUCACUGGGCGUAAAGCGCGCGUAGGCCGCUUUGUAAGUCGGACGUGACAGCCCUCGGCUCAACCGGGGAACUGCGUUCGAUACUGCGAGGCUUGAGUCCUGGAGAGGGUGGCGGAAUUCCGGGUGUAGGAGUGAAAGCCGUAGAUAUCCGGAGGAACACCGGUGGCGAAGGCGGCCACCUGGACAGGUACUGACGCUGAGGCGCGAAAGCGUGGGGAGCAAACAGGAUUAGAAACCCUGGUAGUCC